UACGUAGGGUGCGAGCGUUAAUCGGAAUUACUGGGCGUAAAGCGUGCGUAGGCGGUUCGCUGUGUCCGAUGUGAAAGCCCCGGGCUUAACCUGGGAAUGGCAUUGGAAACUGGCGGGCUUGAGUGCGGCAGAGGGGGGUGGAAUUCCGCGUGUAGCAGUGAAAUGCGUAGAGAUGCGGAGGAACACCGAUGGCGAAGGCAGCCCCCUGGGUCGACACUGACGCUGAGGCGCGAAAGCGUGGGGAGCAAACAGG
rnacentral:rRNA from 1 species